rnacentral:rRNA from 1 species
UGGGGAAUAUUGCACAAUGGGCGCAAGCCUGAUGCAGCAACGCCGCGUGAGUGAUGAAGGUCUUCGGAUUGUAAAGCUCUGUCUUUGGGGACGAUAAUGACGGUACCCAAGGAGGAAGCCACGGCUAACUACGUG